rnacentral:rRNA from 1 species
CGGCCGCGGUACUCUGACCGUGCAAAGGUAGCAUAAUCAUUUGCCUUAUAAUUGAAGGCUAGUAUGAAUGGUUUGACAAGAAUGUAUCUGUCUCUCUAUAAUUAAAUAGAAUUUUAUUUAUGGGUGAAGAAGCCCAUAUAAAAUUAAAAGACAAGAAGACCCUAUCGAGCUUUAAAAAAUUUAAUAGGUUCAAAAAUUAAUAAUAUUAAAAAAUUAACUAUUAAACAUUUUAGUUGGGGCGACUAAGGAACAUAAAAAGCUUCCUUUAAAUAUACUUAAAUCCUACAAGAAUUGAUCCAAAAUAUUUUGAUUAAAGGAAUUAGUUACCGUAGGGAUAACAGCAUUAUCUUUUUUAAGAGCUCAUAUCGAAAAAAAGGUUUGUGACCUCGAUGUUGGACCAGAAUAUCCUAAAGGUGCAGCAGCCUUUAAGGGUUGGUCUGUUCGACCAUUAAAAUUCUACGUGAUCUGAGUUCAGACCGGGGGGAGGACCC